UACGUAGGGGGCAAGCGUUAUCCGGAUUUACUGGGUGUAAAGGGAGCGCAGACGGCUUGGCAAGUCUGAUGUGAAAGGCGGGGGCUUAACCCCCGGACUGCAUUGGAAACUGUUAAGCUGGAGUGCCGGAGAGGUAAGCGGAAUUCCUAGUGUAGCGGUGAAAUGCGUAGAUAUUAGGAGGAGCACCAGUGGCGAAGGCGGCUUACUGGACGGUAACUGACGUUGAGGCUCGAAAGCGUGGGGAGUAAAC
rnacentral:rRNA from 1 species